GUUCCUGCUGUAGGAAGUAUCAGUUUGGAUCCAUUUAAGUCUGCACACACUAUAAUUCUUAUCUGUUGGUUUACUGUCUACAGAAAUGGACAAAUCAGAUAUUUGACUGUUGGAAUGGCCCAAGUUCAGUGUUCCUGGCUAUACCUAUGAGCCUGUGUUGGACUGGUGCAUGGAAGCCAUGUUGGUCAGCCCAUAUACUGCUGGCACCUCAAGAAUACUUCCUCACUGCAUGUGGAGCAGAUCAGGGACACCUGCCCUUGGUUAGAGGCUAUAAAAGUCAAGGUUAAUUCUCUCCCCAGCCCUAGGUUUGUCGUAACCCAGAGCCUGGCACGCCAGCACCUAGACGUGGUGACCAAAGCCGCCCGAGUGCUCACCUCACCGUGGCCAGAAUUCCCAGAAGAAGAAGAAGAUGAAAUUCAAGAAGUGAUUUCUGAAGAGGAGUCUGCUUCAGUGCCUGAUCAUCAAGUGAUGGGAGCCAUCUAACUGGGGUUUAAUAGAGGGAUCUAGAACUCCGUCUCUGCAACAAAGGCAAGCUCCAGUGCAUGCAACCCCUUCCUUGUGUUUUUAAAUGAUUUUUACACACUUUAAGUCUAGUGAUAUGUGCAUUAGGUUUAUAGGAGUUGUUUGGAAACCCUUUGAUGCAUUGACUACCUUGAUAUCCAUUCCUGUUAUAGGUACUUCUUUGGAAGUAUCAAAUAUUGUUUACAAAAAUACUUAGCCCUGAUUAGAUCUUGUGGAUAGAGGUUGUCUUUUGCAUUAAUGCCUAGCUCAGGGGGUAUCCUGAGGA